GACGAACCGUGCGAACGUUGUUCGGAUUCACUGGGCUUAAAGCGCGCGUAGGCGGCCCUGUAAGUCCGUUGUGAAAGUCAAAGGCUCAACCUUUGAAAGCCGAUGGAUACUGCAGGGCUAGAGUCCGGAAGAGGAGAGUGGAAUUCCGUGGUGUAGCGGUGAAAUGCGCAGAUAUCAGGAAGAACACCCGUGGCGAAGGCGGCUCUCUGGGACGGUACUGACG
rnacentral:rRNA from 1 species